rnacentral:rRNA from 2 species
AACUUUCAACAACGGAUCUCUUGGCUCUCGCAUCGAUGAAGAACGCAGCGAAAUGUGAUAAGUAAUGUGAAUUGCAGAAUUCAGUGAAUCAUCGAAUCUUUGAACGCAUCUUGCACUCCUUGGUAUUCCGAGGAGUAUGCCUGUUUGAGUGUCA